UUCUGGAACUUGGUGUGGUAGUUUUGGGCAUGCCUAAUAGGCUUCCUGUAGCUGGACUAAAACUCCAUUGAGUCAGGGCAAGUAGUCAAGGCAGCUGUGUGGUGGCUAGAAAAAGCUCAGCCACAGUAACAGAAAGCAAGCUGUUUUCCCCCAACUCUGAAGCAUUUUGCAGCAGUGCUUUUGACUCAUGAGACUAUAUGGAGUUGAUAAACAAGGACUGUAACUAAGACUCUCAACCUAAGCUUUUGGACCUCUCAGGUAAAUGAUCCACAUCAUGAAAAAUUACACAGUCCCAGGCAACAUCCUUCAUAGCCUCUUUGAAGCCAACAUUAAAGAGCAUUGCACGGUUAAAAGGUUGUGUACCACUCUUUAUGCGGAAACAAAGGAGAAACCGAAUGAGGCAAGAGCAAGUAGAUGCUACUUUGAUAUACAGGAAAUUUACCAGCCCCCCCUUGUACUAGAAAGAAAAAGGUAUGAGGUGCCGGAAAAAAAUUGGAAGAUGUUCAUGGCGAUUGCGAAAAGGAAUGAGGAUUGCCACCUGCAAAAUAAGUCAGAUUAGAGAGAGUAAUGUUAAGAUGAUAUGAGUAUUUUAAAAUCAUAAUGGGUUAAAUUAAAUCUGUUGUUAUGGA